rnacentral:rRNA from 1 species
AUAAAGUUGUUCUCAGUUCGGAUUGUAGUCUGCAACUCGACUACAUGAAGCUGGAAUCGCUAGUAAUCGUAGAUCAGCAUGCUACGGUGAAUACGUUCCCGGGUCUUGUACACACCGCCCGUCACACCACGAGAGUUUGUAACACCCGAAGCCGGUGGAGUAACCUUUUAGGAGCUAGCCGUCGAAGGUGGGACAAAUGAUUGGGGUGAAGUCGUAACAAGGUAGCCGUAUCGGAAGGUGCGGCUGGAUCACCUCCUUU